UCAAAGAAAGAUAUGUCUUUGUCUCUGCCC
rnacentral:piRNA from 1 species